rnacentral:rRNA from 1 species
AGUGAACGCUGGCGGUAGGCCUAACACAUGCAAGUCGAACGGCAGCACAGUAAGAGCUUGCUCUUACGGGUGGCGAGUGGCGGACGGGUGAGGAAUACAUCGGAAUCUACUUUUUCGUGGGGGAUAACGUAGGGAAACUUACGCUAAUACCGCAUACGACCUACGGGUGAAAGCAGGGGAUCUUCGGACCUUGCGCGAUUGAAUGAGCCGAUGGCGGAUUAGUUAGUUGGCGGGGUAAAGGCCCACCAAGGCGACGAUCCGUAGCUGGUCUGAGAGGAUGAUCAGCCACACUGGAACUGAGAGGCGGUCCAGACUCCUACGGGAGGCAGCAGUGGGGAAUAUUGGAAAAUGGGCGCAAGCCUGAUCCAGCCAUACCGCGUGGGUGAAGAAGGCCUUCGGGUUGUAAAGCCCUUUUGUUGGGGAAGAAAAGCAGCAGGUUAAUACCCCGCUGUUCUGACGGUACCCAAAGAAUAAGCACCGGCUAACUUCGUG